ACACACAUUAAUAAAACACACUAGAUCUAAUGCAAGUUUAUAUGGUGAGUAUUUUUAAAGGAUUUAAAAAGCAUGCUCCAUCAGCAUAAUAGCUUUUUCUCAUUUACGUAACAGAUACAUUUCUGUCUGCUUGUGUACAGCAAAGGGUUAGAACCUGAA